rnacentral:sRNA from 1 species
UAACUUUCCCUUUCGGGCCAGCCGCCUCG